rnacentral:rRNA from 1 species
GCAGGUGGGCAGACCACCCUGAACGCCCCCAUCCGUCUGAUCUCGGAAGCUAAGCAGGGUCGGGCCUGGUUAGUACUUAGUACUUGGAUGGCUUGCU